AAUCAGUGAGGGAAAUAGCAAAAUUGAGCAUCAGAAGAUCUUCCAGUCUGCCUUAUCUGUAAUCUUUAAUCCUGAUG